GGCCUAUUCUCAACAUCCAGAAAGGAAAACAAUUCCUAAUUCUGAGACAUUAGUUUCAGUCUUGUUUCAGUCUUGGAGAAAACUUGAUCUUGGAUUAAACACAGCUCUGGUCGCCCUGAACAAAAUUUAAAAGUGAAACCUAUAGAAUCAAACUGUUUAACCACCUCCUAUAGCAAAAUUCAAUGAUGUUUAUAAGACAAAAAGGAGGAGAUGAAGAGGAGGAAGAUGAUAAAAUAAACAGCACCUCACAACAUCUGGAAUCUAAUUUUUAAAAAUUGCUAAACAAAGUAGCAGGGAAAUACACCUAUAAUGAGGGAAAAGGAAAUCAGUCUGUUGAAGCUGACCUAGAAGUGACAGGCUUCAAUAUUAAGAGGCAAGGGCAUUAAAAUAAUUAUUAUGACUGCUUUUCAUAUGUUCAGACUGCCCACGUUAUGUAGGAACAUGGAAGAGAUAAACAGAUACAUACAUACAUACCUAUGACCCAAAUUAAAUUUCUUUUUUGCUGGGUAGAGGGUACUGGGGAUUGAACUCAGGGGUACUCAACCAUUGAGCCACAUCCCCAGCCCUAUUUUGUAUUUUAUUUAGAGAUAGGAUGUCACAGAGUUGCUUAGUGCCUCACUUUUGCUGAAGCUGGCCUUGAACUUUAUAUCCUCCUGCCUCAGCCUCCCAAGCCACUGGGAUUACAGAUGUCCACCACCAUACCUGGCUAAGUUUUUAGAGAUACAAUGGCUAUGAUUUUAAAAAGGAAAAAAGAAAAAGACAAAACAUGCUGGAUGAACUUAAUGACAGUGUAACCUUGCAGGAGGCCAGAAAAGUGGAUAAUAUGUCAAUAAAAACUGUCCACAGUGAAACAAGAUUUAUUAAAAUGAUCAGUGCACCAGUGAACUGUGGAACAAUUUCAAGGUGUUGAAUAUAUGUAAUUAUUAAAGUCUCCAAAAGAAAGGAGACUUUUUUUAAAAAAAAAUAGAGAAAUAAUGGUGGGAAAUUGUCCAAACUUCAAGAAAG
rnacentral:lncRNA from 1 species